rnacentral:rRNA from 1 species
GACGAACGCUGGCGGUGUGCUUAACACAUGCCAGUCGAACGGUAAGGCCCUUUCGGGGGUACACGAGUGGCGAACGGGUGAGUAACACGUGAGUAACCUGCCCUCAUCUCUGGGAUAACAGUCGGAAACGGUUUCUAAUACUGGAUAUGAGCUUGCAAGGCAUCUUGUGGGUUGGAAAGAUUUUUUUGGUUGGGGAUGGACUCGCGGCCUAUCAGCUUGUUGGUGAGGUAGUGGCUCACCAAGGCUUCGACGGGUAGCCGGCCUGAGGGGGCGACCGGCCACAUUGGGACUGAGGUACGGCCCAAACUCCUACGGGAGGCAGCAGUGGGGAAUAUUGCACAAUGGACGGAAGUCUGAUGCAGCAACGCCGCGUGCGGGAUGACGGCCUUCGGGUUGUAAACCGCUUUCAAUUGUGACGAAGCUUUUUGUGACGGUAGCAGUAGAAGAAGCACCGGCUAACUACGUG